GACGAACGCUGGCGGCGUGCUUAACACAUGCAAGUCGAACGGAAAGGCCCUGCUUUUGUGGGGUGCUCGAGUGGCGAACGGGUGAGUAACACGUGAGUAACCUGCCCUUGACUAUGGGAUAACUUCAGGAAACUGGGGCUAAUACCGGAUAGGAGCUCCUGCUGCAUGGUGGGGGUUGGAAAGUUUCGGCGGUUGGGGAUGGACUCGCGGCUUAUCAGCUUGUUGGUGGGGUAGUGGCUUACCAAGGCUUUGACGGGUAGCCGGCCUGAGAGGGUGACCGGCCACAUUGGGAGUGAGAGAGGGCCGGAACCCCCCGGGGGGGGAGGAGGGGGGAAUUUUGCCCAAGGGGGGGAAGCCUGAUGGAGCAACCCCGGGUGGGGGAGGCCGGCUUUCGGGUGGUAAACCCCUUUCCCCUGUGCCGAAGGGGGAGGAAGGGAAAUGGGUAAAGAAGCACCGGCAAACUAGGU
rnacentral:rRNA from 1 species